rnacentral:hammerhead_ribozyme from 1 species
AUCCAACUGAUGAGUCACAUAUAGGAUGAAACGCGCGUUCUGGAU